UCCGGUUUGUCACCGGCAGUCUCCCUAGAGUGCCCUUGCGUAGCAACUAGGGACAAGGGUUGCGCUCGUUGCGGGACUUAACCCAACAUCUCACGACACGAGCUGACGACAGCCAUGCAGCACCUGUGUUCCGAUUCCCUUUCAGGCACACCCACCUCUCAGCUUUCCGGCAUAUGUCAAACCCAGGUAAGGUUCUUCGCGUUGCAUCGAAUUAAUCCGCAUGCUCCGCUGCUUGUGCGGGUCCCCGUCAAUUCCUUUGAGUUUUAGCCUUGCGGCCGUACUCCCCAGGCGGGGCACUUAAUGCGUUAGCUACGGCACGGAACCCGUCGAUAGAGCCCCACACCUAGUGCCCAACGUUUACGGCGUGGACUAC
rnacentral:misc_RNA from 1 species